UAAUACAGAGGGUGCAAGCGUUAUUCGGAAUUACUGGGCAUAAAGAGCGCGUAGGCGGUCUAAUUAGUCUGAUGUGAAAUCCCCUGGACUCAAUUCAGGAAGUGCAUCGGAUACUGCUAGACUAGAGUGCAGGAGAGGAGAGCGGAAUUCCUGGUGUAGAGGUGAAAUUCGUAGAUAUCAGGAGGAACAACAGUGGCGAAGGCGGCUCUCUGGACUGUAACUGACGCUGAGGCGCGAAAGCGUGGGGAGCAAACAGGAUUAGAUACCCUGGUAGUCCACGCCGUAAACGAUGGAAGCUAGAUGUCGGAGGUUCUUACCCCUUCGGUGUCGUCGCUAAUGCAUUAAGCUUCCCGCCUGGGGAGUACGGUCGCAAGAUUAAAACUCAAAGAAAUUGACGGGGGCCCGCACAAGCGGUGGAGUAUGUGGUUUAAUUCGAUGCAACGCGAAAACCUUACCUGGGCUUGACAUCUGGUGCUAUCCGGUGAAAGUCGGAGUUCCCUUC
rnacentral:rRNA from 1 species